rnacentral:lncRNA from 1 species
GAUGAUUCCGGAGUGUCACCAAGUGGUUCUGGUAUACCUGGCAGUGAUUUUGGCGUGUCAGGAAUCCACCUGCCGGGUAUGCCACAACCACUUGGUGGACACUCCGGAAUCAUCUGCCGGACAUGUCAGAACCAGCUCUCAGACACACCAGAACCACGUGCCAGACACGCCAGAUGCACCUGCUGAUCAUGCCUGAGCCAAAUGCUCGACUUGCCAGAAACACCUGCCAGACAGCCAAAAUCACCUGCCGGGUACGCCAGAAACACUUGGCGGACGCUCCGGAAUCACCUUUCGGGCAUGCCGGAACCAACUCUCAGACGUGCCAGAACCUCGUGCCGGACAGGCCAGAACCACCUGCCGAGUAUGCCGGAACCACAUGAUCCACUCCCCAGAACCACCUGCUGGACACGCCUGAAUCACCAGCCGGCUACGCCAGAACCACUCGGCAGACACUCCGGAAUCACAUGUCAGGCAUUCCGGAACCACCUCUCACAGGUGCCAGAACCACAUGCCGGACACUCCGGGAUCACCUGCCGGGCAUGCCGGAACCACCUCUCAGACGUGCCAGAACCAUGUGCCGGACACGCCGCAACCACCUGCCGAGUAUGCCGGAACCACCUGCUCCACUCCGCAGAACCACCUGCUGGACACGCCAAAAUCACCUGCCGGCUACGCCAGAACCACUCGGCAGACACUCCGGAACCAACUCCAGGACAGACCGGAACCACCUGCCGGACUCGCCGGAACCACCUGCUAGACAUUCCGGAACCACCUGCCUCACAGGCCAAAAUCAUAUGCCGGCUACGCCAAAACCACUUGGUGGACACUCCAGAAUCACCUUGCGGGAAUGGCGGAACCACGUCAUGGACAGACGGCAAACACCUGCCGGACCUGCCGGAAACACCUGCCGAGCACGCCGGAAACACCUGCUCAACUCACCAGAGCCACCAGACGGACACAUCAGAAACACCUGCGGGGUACACCAGAACCACUUGGAGGACUCUCCGGGAUCACCUGCCAGGCAUUCCGGCACCACCUCUCAGACGUGCCAGCACCAUGUGCCAGACAGGCCGCAACCAUCUGCCGAGUAUACCGGAACCACCUGAUCCACUCCCCAGAACCACCUGCUGGACACGCCAAAAUCACCUGCCGGCUACGCCAGAACCACUUGGCGAACACUCCGGAAUCACCUGCCGGGCAUGCCGGAUCCAGCUCUCAGAGGUGCCAGAACCACAUGCCGGAGACUCCGGAAUCACCUGCCGGGCAUGCCGGAACCAUCUCUCAUAUGUGCCAGAACCAUGUUCCGGACACACCGGUACCACCUGCCGAGCUCGCCGGAACCACCUGCUGGACACGCCAAAAUCACCUGCCGGCUACGCCAGAACCACUCGGCAGACACUCCGGAAUCACCUGCCAGGCAUGCCGGAACCACCUGAUCCAGUCCCCAGAACCACCUGCUGGACAUGCCGGAAUCACCUGCCGGGCAUGCUGGAACCACGUGCUGGACAUACCGGAAUAAGCUGCCGGACAUGCCGGAACCACCGGCUCGACACGCCGGAACCAUUGCCGGACAUGCAAAAUCACCUGCCGGCUACCCCAGAACCACUUGGCGAACACUCCGGUAUCACCUGCCGGGCAUGCCGGAACCACCUCUCAGAGGUGCCAGAACCACAUGCCGGACACUCCGGAAUCACCUGCCGGGCAUGCCGGAACCACCUGCCGGACAUGCCGGAACCACCGGCUCGCUUCGCCGGAACCAUUCCCGGACAUGCAAAAUCACCUGCCGGCUACGCCAGAACCACUUGGCGAACACUCCUGAAUCACCUGCC